UAAAGAUUGCAAUACACGGGAAAUAUAUUAAAACAUAAGCUAUUUACAUCGUAAAAAACAAAACAAAACAAAAAAAAAACAUCCACGCGGGGUUUAACGUUCAUAAAUAUGUAGCUCGUGAAAUAAAGUUACGAGCGUUGGCGGCCAUUUUAGGGCACCAACGGUAAACGCCACAACAGUUAGCUGUGUUGUCAGGUGGGGUUGUUGAAAGGCUGUUUUUUAAAACGACAUGGGAAAACAAGUCGAGGGACAAUUGGCAGGUGAAAAAAGACCAGGGAAUUAUUGGCAACAAAAUAAAAUAAAAUACAUCAACGUCUUCACAGUGGACACUGUUACAUCGCUUACAUGCUUUUAUUCUGGACUGGACCAGAUGUUAAUCGGACCAGUUCAAAGAUCCUGGUUUGACUUCCUAAAACAGGCAGCUGGUGUCCAUCAUCGCUCUGAGGUGUGCCCCCUGAAAUGUUGAUAAGAUGUGGGAUGUCUGUCUGCUCAUUCAUGAUGUAGGCUGCAGGGUUUU